ensembl:lncRNA
GCUGAGCUUAGCUGCGGGAAGGAAGGGGAGGGAGAGGCAGCAGCUCCAUAUUAAUGGGUUCCUUAAAGAGCAGCCUGGCACAGGUGGGAAAGUGUCAGUACAUCUAAUUGUUGCUCAUAGGUAAACAGCUCCAGAUCUCUGAUGAACCUUUCUACCCUUUCCUGAAACUCUUCUAUUCCAAGACCAACUUUUUGAGAUGAUAGCACUGAUGUGCAAGCAAGCCACAAGUUCUACAAGAUUCCUAACUUGAGGAUUUUACACGUGCUGAGAAUUGCAAGAUGUCCAUGUGGAAAUCUUUACUAUGGUCUAUUUGCAAGUGAGCCACACACAUGCUGACCAAUGCCUGCUCCCUCCAAUGCCUUCCAGAAGACACAUGAUUGACCACAGACACAACUCUAGGCACACAAAGUUUAGCUCCAGAAGAUUCCAUCCCCUUGCAUCUGUUCCAGCUCUUUAACCACCGUAGUGACCUCUGUAGGACUUUUAUCAGUCUGUCGAUGGGUUUCUUCUCCCUGAGGAAAAAGAUAUCUCACAGAGGAAGAAAACUGCUUCAUUUCUUAUUUUUCUCCAGUAUGGACAGCUGUUUCUGUGCUUCCCUGUGCAUCCUUACAACCUUGCCUUGGAUUUUUCCUCAUUUCAAAUGGAAAACCCCAUAAUAGAACUGAGUACAGCUUAACUCGCAGAUGUGCAGCUCCAGUGACGUUGCAGGAAUUGUCACAGGAACAGUGAUGAAUGAACUGCUGUAAAUCCAAAUUCAUAUUAAAAAAAAACUCCUGGGAAUCAGGAAGAGUGCAUUACUUUUUUAUUCACUUUUUUUUGUUUGUUUUUAGUUGUGUGAACAUGGAUGCUAACCACAUACUCAAAGUAAGGAGUACCUAGGGGGGAGCAGGAAACUUCCCCUCCUUCCCCAGACAGAUUUUUUUACAAAAUGAUACGUAUGUAUUCUGCUGUACAUGUCUUGAACUGUCAUUGGAAUUUUAAAGCACUUAAAGACUUAACAACUAACAGACAUAAAAUUUUGCUUCCUUUUAACCAUGAAGAUUUCAAUGAAGCCUGACUAACAAGAGCUAAUUCAUUGGAAAACAGUCUCAGUAGGAAAAGAUGCUAUGUGCAGUUACAGUGGUAUUCUCUGAAGUAUUUUAAAAUAGUAUUAAUUCAUGCUUUCUACAUUCCUAAUUCUGUCCCUCUAUCCCUCAGUAUUGUCACAUACUGUGAUCUUGAUUUUGACCUUUAGUGAAAUCAUUUACUCAUAAUACAGUUUGUGAUCUUGGAUACUAGUAGAUGAUUGUAAAAAUAUCUCAGUCUACACAUUUCUAAAGGACCAAGAGGAUAGGAUAGGAUAGGAUAGGAUAGGAUAGGAUAGGAUAGGAUAGGAUAGGAUAGGAUAGGAUAGGAUAGGAUAGGAUAGGAUAGGAUAGGAUAGGAUAGGAUAGGAUAGUUCAGUUUAGCAUGAUUGUUAAUGUGUUAAAUGCAAUCCAUUUUGAAUAUAUGUUCCUACAUAAUGAACGUUCUUCCCUAUAACAAAAAUGUGGUUUUUUUGUUUGUUUGUUUUUUGAGUGUUAGUGUCAUCAUGGAUAUCUUGAAAGAGUUUUGAGAGAGUGAAGUGCACUGCGGGUGUUAUUUAGUAAUAGGAUAUAGUAGGCUCUGAUGUCUGGAACUGUGAUUAUUUAUGAUUAUCAAAAAUAGAUGUGAAUAUUAGCAUUUGAGAAUAUAUCACAGAUUACAUAUUAAGAUGAAGAUAAAUGAGUCUGUGUGGUACAAGACUAGAAAUCAUUGUAACUAUCAAACUCUGCUUAUGGAAAAGUAAAUAACACUUGCAAUGAGAACGUGAAGGGGAAUGAAAACUGGAACGAUAUCAAUUGCAUACAAAGCCACUGGGAUCAGAUGAGCUGUGCAGAAUUUACAGUGAAAGACCCCUUAUUCUCAAUACAAGUUAAAAUAUGUUAAUGCAUGUCAGAAUCCUCUCCCCCCAAAACUCUUAUCCUUAAAGAUGUGCAUAUUCCCUUCAAAAAGAAUGAGAAGGCAAGAAGCCAACAGGCUGCUCUGAGAAAGUAUCCAGAAAGCUUGUCAAUGCUUGUCAGCAGAAAUCAAGAUGGGGAGACAGUCUAGGGAUGCUGUUGAAGUCUUUUCUCUGAUAUAAAGCCCUCUGGGGAGUAAGCAAUCUGGAAUAAUUGUAGAUACACCAUGAUAAUAGACUGAAGUCAAUUGCAAUUUAGGUCAGAUGAUCAAUUGAUUUUCCCUUUCUCCAGCUUGAUUCAGUGUCUAAUAAACACAAGCAAAAUGCAUUCUACUGCCUCUCAGGUUAGCAUACUUAAGGGGAUAAAUAUAUUAAAGAAAAAUUUUUUAAAAAUACUCUUGGUUAUUUUCAUUCUUAUUGAUUUUGUGCUCACAGAGGUGCACAGGGAGGAAACUGGAAAUCUUUAUGAUGGCAGAGGGUAAGAACUUUAGCACCAUAUCAUUUUUUUCCAAGAGGAAAGAUCCAUUCAGCAGACAGAUGGGUUGCUGUAUAUAUAGGGAAAGCUAAAAGUGACUGCAGGUCAGCACACCAAACAUGGUUAUGUGGGCCUAGGAUAUCAGAGAAAGAGAUUUGAUAAAAAAAUAUUUGGUAGGGAGGAUGACAGAUAUCACUGGGACACCCAGGUGUGGACAUUUCAGUGUUAAACUGGUCCUAGCAUUCUAAUCCACAUUCUUUAGGGAAAUUCAUUCUGCAGUCCCCCAAAACCAGGUCAAAUGCUUGGAAGUUCUUUGGACUCAAUGAUCCUUAUGGGUCACUUCCAUCUUGGGUUAUUGUAUGACUCUAUGAUUCUAUGAUCUAUUAAAUGACAGAUCCAGCUAACCAGAGGAACGGCAUCACAUUCAGAGCUUUAGAUCUGUGAUGCCCCCAAAACCUGAGUUUCCCUCACAUCACAAUGUCUUAAUCCUUGUCAUGAACUCCUUACAUUGGUGUAGCACAGACAAACAGCUGGUCUUUCUUAAUGUUCCCUUCUCAGUAUCUACACUCUGCAACAGUUUGGUUUGCAGCACUGAUAAACACAUCUUGGAGAAUUUUUAUCUACUGUUUCCCUAUCUGGAAAGGGAGUGAUUGUAAUCACUCUCCCUUUCUCUAUAGUGAUGAGGAGGAAGGUCCCCAGCAGGUCUAGAGGACUCUUCCCCUUUCUUGAUGGCUUUGUCAGCCCUGCUAAUGCAUAGCCCAAAAAAGGCUCUGAAUUUCCACAGGAUUGAAGCUUUAUUAAACUUCUUAGGUUGGACCACCUAGAUGCCUGAACAACAUGAAACCUAUCAAAUAUUUAUCUACAUGAAACUUCUGCUCUUAGUCUUUCAAACUCAAUGUAGUGUUGGAUCCAGAAGUGCAACCCAGUUUCCAUGGCUCACCUAGUGUCUUAAACAUAUGUUGAACUGAUGCUUAACUAAAUUCCAGGAUCGUGUUUUUUCCCUCUUUGCACGCAAAGAAAAACCAAGUACACUGUAAAGACCUUGCCACCUCCAGAAAUGUUCCCGCUAUGUUAUGCCAUGCAGACAGUCUGAAUGCCUCAGUUUCCAUUUUUGAAAGGCAGAAGGGGAUAGGUGUCUUCUGAAGAUGAUGUUAUAAAACACAGCUGUUGAAAAAUUGACUUACAAAAGGAGGGAAUAUUAUAUAAGAAGAAAUUCUUUUAUAUUGACACUUCAUUAAUACUAAAACAAAUCACUCCAUCAUGUUCCUAAGGGAAAUUCAUUUCUGGGAAGCUUGUUCACUAGCUUGUAUUAAAGAUCAGUUUGUUCCCGAGGUAGUGUAGAUGUAGUAGAACCAGUAAGAAAAUGUAUUAACAAUGUCUGAACCCAGCUCUGAGUUCAGGUGAGGUUUAGUUAUUAGAUAUUAGGAACAAUUUCUUCUCAGAAAGAGUGGUAAUUCAUUGGAACAGGCUACCCAGUGGUGGAGUCACCAUCUCUGGAGAUUUACAAGAACGGUGGAAAUGUGGCACUUAGGGAUGUGGCUUGAGUGGACAUGGGGGGGAUGAGUUGACCACGGGACUUCUUUUGUUGAUAAUCUCAGAGGUCUUUUACAACCUUAAUGAUUCUAUAAUACAUCAGAGGGAAGGGUGGACAGCAAACUUCAUGUUUGUCCCAUGCCCAUUGGGUGCUGCUGAUAUGAAAUAGGCUGGUGGAUUACACUUUUCUGCUCCCCAGUGGAUCCACCUCUGAUCUCAACAAAUCACCAGGCUUUCUUGUCAUUCUGAAUGCUCUCCAAGUCUAGUUGCCUUCAUGUUUUCCUUAUGAGCAUAGUAUAAGUCUGUGUGAAUAUUUACCUUCUGAUAAUUGCACUCUAUUAGUCCUCAGGGCCGCAGCUGCCUCAGGAACUGUAGUUAAUUUUCCCAGUGUUCUGCUAUCUUGUAAUUGUUUAAAAGUUAACACCGGAAUAUCAAUGCAGUUUCGUUAUUAACUUCAAAGAAGCCCUCUUGAGCAUGCUUUUAAAAUGUUAAAGCAACCUGUCUGAAAUGCAGUUUGGGCAGCUUACAUUCUGGAGAGCAGAGCAAACUCAUGUAAUAGAACCUACCUUCUUUGCUCUUCUUUCUUGUUUUAUAUUUCAGACAGGUUGGAUAACUUAUUUUGCCCACAGAUUAAUUCAACUUUCAUUUCAUUAAAACAUCUCUAGCUGCUAAGUGAAAUGUAAGAUGAAAUGAAGUCUGCGAGAUAGCCUGUGAGGUCUCUCCUGCAGGGUCAUAUCUCCCACUGAAUUCUAAUCUCAUGUUCUGAAGAGAGCUUUGCUUUUGGGUGGUUAACACUGAAGUAAUUGAGUGAGCAGCGAUUAUUUCAAGAUAACAAUCAGGCAAUGUGCCUGCAAUCCAGAUAGGGCACUAACGAUGAUCAAGACCAUCUUUAUGCAUAAAUCAUGUCUGAUAUAAUAAUUUAUGUCUCACCUACAGAACAGAGAAACAAGAACAAAACCCGAUCUUUUAAAAACCUAUUCUUGCUUAGAGAUUUCUGGGUGGAAAGUCUUUUUUUUUUUUCUCCUGUGGAUCUGGUAGCUAAUUACCUUCUCUGUAAAAAUAAUAAUAAUAAAAAAAAAAUUACACAUUGUUUCUGCUCUUGUUUCAGCUUCCAGCUACUAUUUCCUGCAUUUCUUAGGGAAAAUAAAUAAAUAAAUAAAUAAAUGUCCCUCUGGUAGGGAUUUCAAGACUUACUGAUUGGAGAGCAGUAAGAGCAAUUAGAGGUGGUUACCUAUGUCUAAAUCACCUGUGAAUACUAAUGAUUUAAACUGCUAUAAAAAUACCUCCCCCCCCCCCCCCCACCAUGAAUACGUCAGCUGGUGUGAAUUUGAUCUUAGAUCCAAUCUCAAGGCAGUUUCUACUCUUGAUUCUGAAUAUGUGGAGUUCACUGAAUAUCAUUUGGAAUCUGGUGGUUCAAAUAUUGAAACUGCCCAGGGUAGGUGCUCAAAAUUCCUUUAUGAUGUAAGUCAUCUAGCAGUACUUUGCAUAGCUAAUGCUGAACAAACAAGGGAACAGCAACAUGAUAGUCUUAUUGAGAAGAUAAAAUGGAAAGUUACAUGGCUGUUUUGUCCCCAUAUUUUCAGACCUACAGCCAACUAUCCUCAGUAUUUCUAUAACCUCCUUCUUCAGUGGCCAAGCAGAAUAGAAUCAUAGAACCAUUAAGGUUGGAAAACACCUCCAAGAUCAAUCAAGUCCAACCAUUAACACAUUCCCAUCAUGACCAAUAAACCACAUCCUUCAGUGCCACAUUUCUCUAUUUCUUGAGCACCUCCAAAGAUGGUGAUUCUACCACUGCCCUGGGCAUCCUGUUCCAAUACCUUAGCACUCCUUCUGAGAAUAAAUUUUUCCUAAUAUCCAAUACAAACCUCCCCAGCACAUCUUAAGGUCAUUUUCCUGCAAAUAACUCUGGAGCAAUUAUAUCCUUAGGGAAAUGUUGUGAGAUCUGGCUUUCUUCAGUCUGGAGAAGAUGAGGUGGAGUGCGCUUUUUAUUGAUAUUAAACAGGAAAGCAUACAAAAGACAAAGGCUUUCCCAUGUAAUAGGAUGAGGUGCAGAGGCACAGAAUGAAAAGUAGGAAAAUAUGAUUCGAUUUCAGAGAAACAAAUAUAAAACUGGAGCUGACAAAUAUCAAAACAGUAGAAAAAAAAAAGUGAGAUUUUCAUCUUUAGAGAUGAAACUUUACUGGAAAAGUCCCUAAGCAACAUUCACUGAUUUUGAAUUUGGUUCUAACUUGCAAGUUAGUCGUGCUUUAAACAUGGGGUUUGACCAGACACCUCCAAAGUUCCUGCUGACCUCAAUAAUUGUAUGAUUUUCUAUAGAGAGUUACCUGAUCUUCAUAGAGUUUGCAAAAGUCUGAGCUCCACAGGUCUUAUGUGUCUCCAUCUGCAUCUGAGUAUUCACUGCCUUCAGUGUGGAAGAGCUUCAUCUUUGCUGGGAAUGAGGAAAUCUAGUGUCACAAAGGCAAUUGGUUUCUAAAGUUAGUGUAUUUACUUUCACCUUCCCUUGAAAGAAUUCCUUGAUAGUCUCUCUGAACCUUCCUCUCAUGUUUUAUUCCUCUUAUCAAGCUUCAUGAGGCUUCAAUACAGCCAAUCCCAACUGUUACAGAUUCUCAAAUCAUUUUAUUUAGGAGAAAUAAAAUGCAGAAUGGCAACUUAAAUGUUAAUGAUGUGCGAUAUGGCUUUUUUUAUAUGUAUAAAAUCCAUCAUUGCUUAAUGAUCUAAGUCACUGUAGACUCCUGGUUAAGGUAGAUAAGAGCGUGUGGCACUUCCAAAAUAACAGAUAUUUCAAGCCCACGCGGUAGUGAUUAACAAAGGAUCUUUGCAAUGAGAAAACAAGAGACCAGAACAGCUUAAGGCUUCCCCGCUUUAGCUUAAGGCUUCUCCACUUUUGCAGAAACCUUUUGCUUUUUAGCUCUACUUACCUUGGAAAUGCGUCCCUUGUUGAGGGAUGACAAUCAUUUAUACAUUUUGAGGUUUGGAUGCAAAAUUAAUUUGCUCAUCCAUUUAUAUGUAUUUUGGUGCACGUUGAAUAUUCAUUUAUAGAGUAUCUUAGUGUUGUAAGAUAAUUCCUGGUUCAUUUGCUCAGUAAAUGGAGGAGAAGGCUGACAACUGAAAAGAUGCAGCUACAAGUACAGCAUAGGGUUCUUCUCUAAUUUCUCCAGUUUCUCUUACUCCAAAGUAAAAAUGUGCCUGUAGAAACUAUGCUUUUACCUCCAAUCUAGUGUUACUGUAUACUGUAGCCUUUGUUUACGUACACAUAAAAAGCAUACCGUUAGCAUCUGCACUGAUAGCAGCAGAUUAAGACUGGCAUAAGCCCAAGAGAAGACAUCACGUUGGUAUUAAUGCACAGCAAAGUAUUUCCUUAAGUAUUUUUUCGCUUUGAAACUGUUGGACCAAAACUGUCCAGGUCCAUUUAGCAGAAGACUUCUUCAGCUGAAAAGAAAGAUUUCAACAAGAUAUUUUGUCUUUCUUCAUAGGUCAUAUUUAAUUUAUAAAUAUAGCCCCAAAUAACCUAUUUAGAGGCAAAAAGUAUUUGUUCCAGAUUGAAUAACUGUUUUACUUAACUCAAGACGACGUCUUGUUUCAACAGAAGGAUUCAUUAUUUGGGGUUUAUUUAACCCAAGAAAGUGUUUUUCCUGACUCAGUUUUUCCAGUUUGUCACCUGUACAAAUGCAGAGAUGGAAGCAAGAAAAAAAAAACAACUCCGAAGUUGUAAUACAAGCUGGAAACAAUUCAAAUUUGAUCUCAUACUGCCCUACACCUUUCCUUCAAUUGGCAGCAUGUGUACUGGAAGUCUUCUUCAGGCUGAACAGCCCAAGGUCUCUAAGCCUUUCCUUGUAAUGGAGGUGCUCCAGGCUCCUCAUCAUCUUUGUGGCCCUCUGUUGGACUCCCUCCAGAAGUUCCCUGCAAUUUUUUUCACCAAGGAGCACGGAACAGACACAGUCUCCACUGUGGUAUCCUCAGGACGGAGUAGAGAGGAAGGAUCACCUCCCUCAACUAUCUGGUCUUGCUCUUUCUAAUGCACCCCAGGUUAUCCUUGGUUUUCUUGGCCACAAGUGCACAUUGCUGACUCAUAGCCAACCUGUUGUCCACCAGGACACCCAAGUCCUCCUCUGCAGAACUUCUUUCCAGCAGGUCAGCUCCCUAACCUACACCAAUGCUUGUAGUUAUUCCUCUCCAGGUUCAAGACACUACACUUGCC